rnacentral:lncRNA from 1 species
GUCUCCAAAAGCCUCAUUCUUUCCCUUGGUUUAUGAUAUUCAAUUUGGCUCCUGCUGUAAUGUACACUGAAACCUCAGGCUGCUGAGCUAUCUUGAUGGUUUUAAGAAGACAAUCUGGUGCCUUUACCUGCUAGAGAAGUCACCUAGAAUCCUGUUGUUUAAGAACUACUUAACAAUAUACAUACUGAUCCAUUGUGGAAUUAUUAAGGAAAAUACAUUGAAAUAGGUGGCAUUCUUGUCAAAGAUAUAUAUGGACGGCUAGAUGGAUAGAUAGGUGAAAAUCAUGUUCCAUGGAAGAAGAGUUAGCUCAGCCUGCAACUCAAACAAGUACAGAUAUUCUUCCAUGGAAUGACCAUCAUACUUGGAUUGUAAUAAAAAUGCUUUAGGCAAACUUCUCAUUUCAUCCUUGGCAUAUUAAAAAUAUGUAUGUAUGUUUAAGGCUUGAAACUUAACACUGUAUUUUAAUGUUUCAGUAAGGUAAUUCUUCUUAAAUAAAAUUGGCAUUUUUAAAAAAGCCCUCUCUCACCACUCCUAUUCAACAUAGUGUUGGAAGUUCUGGCCAGGGCAAUUAGG